rnacentral:lncRNA from 1 species
UACGUGGCGCACGCCGCAUACGAGGGUGGCCGAGCCCUGUGCUGGCCGAGACGCAGGGAGGAGGCCGCGCCAGGCGAGGCCCCGUGCGCCAAAACGGGCAUCCCUUAGGUCGAGCCAUGCCGCCAGCAGGCGGCGGGCCACGCGGCAGAAUUCGGGCGAACCGCGGAGCGGCGCGUACGCCAGGCCGAGCCAUACGCGCAGCACCCCGACGUCGGUCACGUCGACGUCCUCGUUUUCCUCGUCGGCCAGGGCGGCGGCGGCCGCGCACAGGGCCUCGUCGACGAGAUGGUGCCAAAAGACCUCUUCGAGGGCCAGCGAAGGCAGAUCGCCAAAGAGCGCGGCGACGGCCACGGGUCCAGUGUCGACGGGCGACGGCCACGGACAGUGGUGUGUGCCGCGGGAGGCGAAAUGGGCCACGCCCGCAGCGAAAUGCAUGCGCCCUUUUUGGGGAGGGAGGGGGUAUGGAUCACUCGCGCCGGGGCUUGCUGCCAAAUGUGACGACAAUCGCUGCAGCCGCAUGCCUGCUUUGCCUCGGUACCACCACGGGCCAUACAAAAAACAUCUGACAAAAUGCGCCGGGCCCAUGGCCAAAGACUCGAAAAUCGAAAAAAAACCGCCACAAAAACCAAAUGGCCAGCCAAGGCAAGCGCGCCAUUGGGCGUAUUUACCAGCGCCCCCUAAAAGGGUACAAGAAAGAAGGCCACCGCACCAAGAGGUUCCGCGCGCCCGUUGGGGCCAGUUCCAAUCGACCGCGCCUCCUCUCUUUUUACGCCAGGCCUCUUGGCCCAUGACCAUGAGCCCCCUUUUUAUUAUUUUUUUUCAAAGAGAAUGUCCAACAGGAACAGGCACCCCCAGAGCAAAGUCGAGACAAAAAAGCAUAUUUCAAACAAAAACCUAAAAAAAAUGACAAACAAAAAACAAGCAAAUCAUAAUGCAUUUUUCUUUGUCGCCAAGAGGCCCGAAAACCCGACGCCACAGACGACCCACGUCCGACACAGACCACGGCCUCGGACGAGUUGGACAACGAUCAGGGCGACUAUCUCGGGCGGCAACAAGUUCACGAGGCCAAAUACGCGAAUCGCCGCCCCCUGACCUCUCCCCUUUGGCGUGGAUGCACAAAAAAGCACGACCCUUUUCCUGUUCCUAGUGCGCACGUUGACUAAAGGGAGGAGCAACAAAAAAUUUAAAAAAAACAACAAAGUCGCCG